rnacentral:misc_RNA from 1 species
GAUGAAGAACGCAGCGAAAUGCGAUAAGUAGUGUGAAUUGCAGAAUUCAGUGAAUCAUCGAAUCUUUGAACGCACAUUGCGCCCUUUGGUAUUCCAAAGGGCAUGCCUGUUCGAGCGUCAUUUGUACCCUCAAGCUUUGCUUGGUGUUGGGCGUCUUGUCUCUAGCUUUGCUGGAGACUCGCCUUAAAGUAAUUGGCAGCCGGCCUACUGGUUUCGGAGCGCAGCACAAGUCGCACUCUCUAUCAGCAAAGGUCUAGCAUCCAUUAAGCCUUUUUUUCAACUUUUGACCUCGGAUCAGGUAAGGAUACCCGCUGAACUUAAGCAUAUCAAUAAGCGGAGGA